rnacentral:rRNA from 1 species
UGGCGACCGGCGCACGGGUGAGUAACACGUAUCCAACCUGCCGAUAACUCGGGGAUAGCCUUUCGAAAGAAAGAUUAAUAUCCGAUAGGAUAUCAAGGUCGCAUGAUCUUGAUAUUAAAGAAUUUCGGUUAUCGAUGGGGAUGCGUUCCAUUAGUUAGUUGGCGGGGUAACGGCCCACCAAGACGACGAUGGAUAGGGGUUCUGAGAGGAAGGUCCCCCACAUUGGAACUGAGACACGGCCCAGACUCCUACGGAAGGCAGCAG